UACAGAGGUGGCAAGCGUUGUUCGGAAUUACUGGGCGUAAAGGGCGCGUAGGCGGCCAUCUAAGUCAGACGUGAAAUCCCCCGGCUUAACCUGGGAACUGCGUCUGAUACUGGAAGGCUUGAGUAUGGGAGAGGGAUGUAGAAUUCCAGGUGUAGCGGUGAAAUGCGUAGAUAUCUGGAGGAAUACCGGUGGCGAAGGCGGCAUCCUGGACCAUUCCUGACGCUGAGGCGCGAAAGCUAGGGGAGCAAACGGG
rnacentral:rRNA from 1 species